rnacentral:rRNA from 1 species
AGCCGCGGUAAUACGGAGGAUCCGAGCGUUAUCCGGAUUUAUUGGGUUUAAAGGGUGCGUAGGCGGCCUUUUAAGUCAGCGGUGAAAGUCUGUGGCUCAACCAUAGAAUUGCCGUUGAAACUGGGGGGCUUGAGUAUGUUUGAGGCAGGCGGAAUGCGUGGUGUAGCGGUGAAAUGCUUAGAUAUCACGCAGAACCCCGAUUGCGAAGGCAGCCUGCCAAGCCAUGACUGACGCUGAUGCACGAAAGCGUGGGGAUCAAACAGGAUUAGAUACCCUGGUAGUCCACACAGUAAACGAUGAAUACUCGCUGUUUGCGAUAUACGGCAAGCGGCCAAGCGAAAGCGUUAAGUAUUCCACCUGGGGAGUACGCCGGCAACGGUGAAACUCAAAGGAAUUGACGGGGGCCCGCACAAGCGGAGGAACAUGUGGUUUAAUUCGAUGAUACGCGAGGAACCUUACCCGGGCUUAAAUUGCACUCGAAUGAUCCGGAAACGGUUCAGCUAGCAAUAGCGAGUGUGAAGGUGCUGCAUGGUUGUCGUCAGCUCGUGCCGUGAGGUGUCGGCUUAAGUGCCAUAACGAGCGCAACCCUUGCCACUAGUUACUAACAGGUGAUGCUGAGGACUCUGGUGGGACUGCCAGCGUAAGCUGCGAGGAAGGCGGGGAUGACGUCAAAUCAGCACGGCCCUUACAUCCGGGGCGACACACGUGUUACAAUGGCGUGGACAAAGGGAUGCCACCUGGCGACAGGGAGCGAAUCCCCAAACCACGUCUCAGUUCGGAUCGGAGUCUGCAACCCGACUCCGUGAAGCUGGAUUCGCUAGUAAUCGCGCAUCAGCCAUGGCGCGGUGAAUACGUUCCCGGGCCUUGUACACACCGCCCGUCAAGCCAUGGGAG